GUUCCAUCAAAAACUCCCCGUCUACCCAAUAAUAGGAAAGGCUUCAUUUUCAAGCCAACCUUCCUUAGCAUAUAUCUUUCUUCUUCAGUUAUACCCUCUUUGUCUAUUUCUUGUUGUUGAGGCAUCUUUGAAUUCCCCAGCUCCACUAGAAGUUUCUCUGCUUUGGCUUUCUUUUCUAGUGCCAUAGACAAUCUGAUGCUAGUCCUUUUAAUAGCUG
rnacentral:misc_RNA from 1 species